GAUGAAGAACGCAGCGAAUUGCGAUAAGUAAUGUGAAUUGCAGAAUUCAGUGAAUCAUCGAAUCUUUGAACGCACAUUGCGCCCGCCAGUAUUCUGGCGGGCAUGCCUGUUCGAGCGUCAUUUCAACCCUCAAGCCCCCGGGCUUGGUGUUGGGGAUCGGCGUGCCCUCGCGGCGCGCCGUCCCCUAAAUCUAGUGGCGGUCUCGCUGUAGCUUCCUCUGCGUAGUAGCAACACUCGCACUGGAUCGCAGCGCGGCCACGCCGUUAAACCCCCCACUUCUGAAAGUUUGACCUCGGAUCAGGUAGGAAUACCCGCUGAACUUAAGCAUAUCAAUAAGCGGAGGA
rnacentral:misc_RNA from 1 species